rnacentral:rRNA from 1 species
CAGUAGCCACGGUAAAACGGAGGAUCCAAGCGUUAUCCGGAAUCAUUGGGUUUAAAGGGUCCGUAGGCGGUCUUGUAAGUCAGUGGUGAAAGCCCAUCGCUCAACGGUGGAACGGCCAUUGAUACUGCAGGACUUGAAUUAUUGGGAAGUAACUAGAAUAUGUAGUGUAGCGGUGAAAUGCUUAGAGAUUACAUGGAAUACCAAUUGCGAAGGCAGGUUACUACCAAUUGAUUGACGCUGAUGGACGAAAGCGUGGGUAGCGAACAGGAUUAGAUACCCCGGUAGUCCCUGUCUCUUAUAA